UACGUAGGGCGCAAGCGUUAUCCGGAAUUAUUGGGCGUAAAGCGCGCGCAGGCGGUCCUUUAAGUCUGAUGUGAAAGCCCACGGCUCAACCGUGGAGGGUCAUUGGAAACUGGGAAACUUGAGUGCAGAAGAGGAAAGUGGAAUUCCAAGUGUAGCGGUGAAAUGCGUAGAGAUUUGGAGGAACACCAGUGGCGAAGGCGACUUUCUGGUCUGUAACUGACGCUGAGGCGCGAAAGCGUGGGGAGCAAACAGG
rnacentral:rRNA from 1 species